rnacentral:tRNA from 1 species
GGUAAGGUGUCCGAUAUAGGUGUCGAGUUGUAACCUCGACCAUAAAGGUCAAAUCCUUUUCUUACCA